rnacentral:rRNA from 1 species
AUUGAACGCUGGCGGCAGGCUUAACACAUGCAGGUCGAGCGGAGUGAUGGUGCUUGCACUAUCACUUAGCGGCGGACGGGUGAGUAAUGCUUAGGAAUCUGCCAUUUAGUGGGGGACAAAAUUCCGAAAGGAAUGCUAAUACCGCAUACGUCCUACGGGAGAAAGCAGGGGAUCUUCGGACCUUGCGCUAAAUGAUGAGCCUAAGUCGGAUUAGCUAGUUGGUGGGGUAAAGGCCUACCAAGGCGACGAUCUGUAGCGGGUCUGAGAGGAUGAUCCGCCACACUGGGACUGAGACACGGCCCAGACUCCUACGGGAGGCAGCAGUGGGGAAUAUUGGACAAUGGGCGGAAGCCUGAUCCAGCCAUGCCGCGUGUGUGAAGAAGGCCUUUUGGUUGUAAAGCACUUUAAGCGAGGAGGAGGCUACUAGUACUAAUACUACUGGAUAGUGGACGUUACUCGCAGAAUAAGCACCGGCUAACUCUGUGCCAGCAGCAGCCGCAGUAA